rnacentral:lncRNA from 1 species
CUACCAUUUCCAUCAAUAACAUCCCGUAACUAUAGACAUCAGCUUUAUAAGAGACACCUCCAAUAUUCUUAUAACAUAGUUCAGGAGCCAUGUAUCCCAUUGUCCCUCUAGCAGCUGUGAGGGACACAGUGUUAUUAUUUGUUGGGUACAAUUUGGCUAGUCCAAAAUCUGAAACUUUCGGAACAAACUUAUCAUUAAGAAGAAUGUUGUGCGGCUUGAUAUCAAAAUGCAAGAUUUGCAUAUCACAACCUUGAUGUAGAUAUUCAAUGCCAUGAGCUACCCCAAGAGAAAUCUCAUAUAUUUUCUCAUUGCUUAGAGGGACGCUACCUUCCUUAGAAAAAAUAUACUUUUCAAGAGACCCAUUAGGCAUGAACUCGUAUAUAAGAGCACGCUUCGAUCCCUCGACAGUAUAGCCUAUAAGUUGCACGACAUUGACGUGGUGAAUUCUUCCAAUUGUGGCAACUUCAUUGAUAAAAUCUUGUCCAUUGGCUUUUGACUUGCCCAAUUUUAACCGCUGCAAAACGACCACUACGAAGCUUUCCCUUAUAAACUGAGCCAAAGCCUCCUUCACCCAACUUGUCUUUAAAUCCGUUGGUUUUUCUUAAUCUCUGAGUAAGUGUACCUUAUCGGCAUGAGAUCAUUAUCAUGAUUUUGCAAGAAUUUUUCAAUGUCUUCAUACAUGGAUAAAUGUCGUCUUCGCCACUUAUAAAUCAGUAAAGUCAGGAGACAUGGAAGCCCACAUGGGAACAGUAGCACAUGAUAUAUCACUGUAUAGAUAUAUUACAAAAAAAAAAAAGUCAACAUUUAAAACAUAUCAAAACAUUUUACAAAUACUUCAUUGAUUUUAGUGACGAGUAUAUGUGUGAUUAAUUCUUCAAUUUCAAAAAUUGAUUGUCAUGGCUCUCAACACUCUAAUAAAUACCUCAUGAAAUUGAAAACAAAACAGUAUUCAAGCAAGUCUAUGAUACAAACAAUAAAGGGAACUAUAAAAACUUUCAAAAUAGUUUUUAUUUAUUUAUGAUAAUUGAUAGUUAUUAAUAUCAUGCUAGCCAUUUAGAAAAUGAUCAAAAACAAUAAGUGAUAGUUUUUAACUUAAAGAAAUAGUAAAUAUUUUCAAAAUACUCAUGCUCUGUGUUUGAUUAGAACAUUUUUCUUCUAAUGCAUUAAAAUCAUUAUUUAUAAUGGAAAACAAAAGUAGAAAGAAUAUUAGAUACAUUAAUUUGAUGCAAAAUAAUAUACAUUUAACCUAAAGUUAAAACUUGAAAUAGUAGGGAGUCAUCAGAAAUAUUUAAAUUUCAAGAAAUUAUUUUCUGCAACUACAUAAAUUUAAUGAAAAUAAAUAGAAGCUACUGGAUACAACCACAAUGAAAUAAGCCAUGAACAAUAAUUAUUUCUUAAGCUAUAAUUAUUGCGUGCUGAUAUACAUGUAUUAUUGUUUCACAAUGAAAAAAGUAAAAUACUUACCGAUAAGGGCAAAUGUUACAGUGGAAAAGAUUAUGAGAAAGCUUAGUAAAUUGAAGGGGUGGCCAUCCGGUAAUAACAAUUACCUGCCAAAUAAAUAAAUAAAAAUAAAUAAAUAAAUGAUGAUUGGAGUCAUUCAAUAUUAAAAGCAUUAUAACUUAUAAAAUAAUAGAAAGAUAAGAGACAAUCUAAUUGGAACGACUAUUAUAUAUUUAUCCUACUAGAUAUUUAUUUCAUUUAGAUCUUCUAAUUAGAUUAAAUUAUUUUAAAAGGGUUGUAUUUUAUCAAAAUUUAAGAGUUUAGUGACCGCAAAAAACUUAUUGCUAUGGGUACGUGAUUGAAACUUGGAUUGAAAAAAAAACAAAAACUUUUUAGGGUCUUUUAUUUAUUUUAUUAAAAAAUAAAUAUUAGUACUCUUUCUGUAAAAUGAUAUAAUUACAUAAAAUAAAUUAGCUCACCCCCGAAAUUAAUUCGACAAAAUAUCCAGCGGAUACCUAUAUAUAAUCACCCAGAGAAUAUGAAUCAGCGUGCAAAAUCUUGAUGAUUAAUUAAAAACAAAAACCUCAUUUGCGAAAAAAAUGCGGAAAGUAAAUGUAUCGUUUUGUAGAACAUGCAUAUAAGACCGUAAUAGUCCUCACCUUCUAAAAAAAGUUCUACCAGCGACCAUACGGCUGCAUUUCAAGAAAAAAGAAAAGGUCAACACUAGUAUUGAUAUUUACAAACUUAAAAUUUUAACUGAAGUGAAGAACAUUUAUUAAAAUAUAAAAUAAACCCUUAACACAUAAACGGAAACCAAGCAAUAUUGGAGCAUAAUCAUAAUACAGUACGUACGGUGUGCUUCUGUGUAAAAGCAAUAGUUCUUCACGGUGGCUUCAUCAAGGUUGCAGCGGUUCUCUGUGCUAUAAAAACAACAGAAAGAGAACCAUGAAAGCUCGAACCCAUACACCAAAAUAUCAUGGACAUCUGUAUACGACUUAUUUCUCAUAUUUUUUGGCACAGAAUAAAUCAGAUUUAUACGGCACAAGUCAGGUACAUCCUGGACGUUCCCAUCAACCAUGACAUAGGAAUGACCUUCCAUAUCGACAAAGCUAGACGAAGAAGAAUUAUAUGCAGUACCACUGCCAUUUUUGCAAGAAGAGGCAUCCAUAAUAUAACCUGGAGGAUUCAGCAUUUGAUUCUUGCAGCAUAAAAAAGUUAACACAGAAAUGUCUGGCCAAUUUCUAUCAUAAUAAUAAUUGCCGUCCGCAGAGCGGAGCCCCCUUCUGCUGUAAGAGAAUGAUGAGGGAGGGAGAAGCAAUCAUCCUUCUGAACAGCAGCAUCCACAAGUCGAAUUGUGAAGUCACUGUAAUUGAUUGACUGGACAUAAUACUUUACCUUGUCCAAGUAUAAAGUUGCACGUACGUUGUUUUCACAAGCAAGUUCAUGACUUUUUUCGCCACAGCUCUCGGGAUCGGUAAUUAGUCGAAAAGGGUAGCUAAUAUUACGGAUAUUGCCACAAGAAGAAGGAGCGCAGUAAUUGCUGGUGUUCUUUGUAGCACUGCAACUAUGGUGGGAGGAUAGGAUCACUAGAAAAGGGAGGGCUGCAUAUGCACCGAAGAGGUGCCUUAAUUCUCUACUGAACAUUGAGAGAGAAACUUUCUUUGGGAAACCAAUUAAUGUGCUUUGUUACACUUUGAUCAAAAGAUAUAUAAAUAUAUUUUGUGGACAAUACUCGUCUACAGACUGCGUAUACCAUCUUGGAUCAAUACGAAAGGAAAUCAAUCAAUGGGCACAAAUUAAAGUCUUCGAGUUAUUGCCUUGGGCCCAAUCUCAUUAAAUUUAUGGGCCCAUUCUCAUUAAUUAUAUUUUUCAAAUUUCUAAAUGAGAUGCAGACGAGCCCAUUCAAUAUUUUUGAAAUUUCCAAAAUGAGGAGAGUGCCUUGAAGAUUCCAAGUCAAUAAGAGAAAAAAAAGCAAGGAAAGAAUCAAGUAGAAAUGCAAAACUAUUUAAAAACGACGUUUUGGAAAACUCUAAGUGGAAACUACCACGUUUCUUUUUUUAAAGGGGUUACAAUAUAAAACGAUGUUUUUAGUCUUUGGGAAUGAAAAUUCACAAUAUUUUUUUUUUCAUAUAUAUAUAUAUAUAUCAAUUUUAAAAAAAAUAAUAUAAAUAGGGUCCAAUGAAGUGUUACCGUGCAUAAUAUCAUGUAUGCACAAUAUUUUAAUUUUUGGGUUGUUGGUCCUAAAUACCGGUGAUGUGGGUGGUCGGUAUUGCUUCGGGUUGUGAUUGUCUCUUGAGAGGUUGAAAGAUGAGUUUGAGUGGCAGUAGAUGUAAAUUACCUUUCAGUCAUAAUCAAGAAAAAUCAUGUGUCAUCUCAAAAGCUAGCAAAACCACUGAAAGCUCUUUCAAAACCAGACAAGUCCCUUACAAACUACAUGUAGCUCUUUCAAAACCACAGUGGACUCAAGCAAUAAUGAAAGAAAUGAACGCAUUACAGAAAAACCAAGCAUAGAGUAGUCUUGUUCCCUAGACCCUAAACCCUACUCAAAUGAAAGAAAAUUAUCAGGUGCUAGUGGGUGUUUUGUAUCAAACAUUAGGAAGAUGGAUCAAGGAUACAAACAAGACUCGAAGUUGAAUAAAAUUAAUUUAGAUUUUUAAUAUCUCUAUCGUUACAUCAGUUUAAUUAAAAAAUGUUAUUCUUCAAAAAGAUCUUAAGGAGGAGUUUACCUAGACAAAGUAUAACUUAGAUCAUACAUUAUUUCUUAGAUAUAGAAAAAGAAAGGUAACAACUUUGAUAAUAUAUACUGAUGACACAAUAACUACAAACAAUGAUGCAGAAGAAAUUCAAAUACUUCAAGAAAAUAUGACAGCUAAGUUUGAAAUAAAGAACCCUGAAGGGAUAAAAUACUUCCUAGGCAAUGAGAUUAGCCAGAGGUAUCUUCUCAUAACAAGGGAAGUAUAUGCUCAGAAGAUUCUUAGAAACUUGAAAUCAAUUGCUGAGUUCAAAUAUAUGCUGAGUUCAUAGGAAUGUACAAAAGGCUGUAGCAUUGUCCAGUUCAAAGAUAUGCUGAGUUCAUUGGAAUGAUCAAGAGGCUUUGUGAGCUAUUAUGGCCGAAGGAGUUGCUAACUCGUAUAAAUUGGCUACGAAGACACUAGGAAAUGAGAAAAAUUUAACAUUAUCAAAUUAAAUUAAAUAAAUAAAAUUAUUAAAAAAAAAAUUGAUGGGUCAACCCAGAAUUAACUGAGUUAACCCGUGAAACCAUGUUAAUCCGUCAAACCUGAAAUAUAUGUCAAGAAAGUCUGAUAAUUAAAUAGAAAGAAAUUUAACAUUAACAAACUAAAGUUAACGAAAAAAUUAACUAAAAAGAAAAAAAAACAAAAAAAAAAUUCAGAGGUAUUCUCUUAUCUCAAAGAAAGUAUAUGUUCAAGAAGAUUCCUAGAUGCUUGAAAUCAAUUUCUGGUAAGGGGAUCAUGUCAUGUUAAACUAUCGUUAAUCUGAAUGGUAAAACUUUUACGGGAUGGAGGAAAAAUGUCACGAGAAUGGUAAAAAAUAAUAUAAAACUAUUAUUAAAAUCUUAUUUAAUAAUUUAAAUUAGCUUUUAUGCCGGCAUGUUGUCCCAAUGUUAUUUUCAAAGUCUAUUUUAUUAGAUUAUAUAAUAAUUAAAAUAGAUUUUUACAAGACAUCCACCGAUCUAAAUUAUUGAGAAAAAAAUAUAAUUUUCUUUCUUAAUUCUUUCUUUUUUCAUUUGAAAAAAAAACAUGAUUUUUUUAUUAGUAAUAUAGAUUUUUGAAUAACUUAAAAUUAUUAAAAGAAACAUUCAUAAAAACUCAAUGAUUUAAAUAAAAGUUGAAAAAAUGAAUCUUUUCAAUUAAAACUAUCUUUCUUUAUUCAUGAAUUUUCUUAAUAGACCAUCAUAUAUAUUUUUUAUAUCAAUUAAAAACAUAUAAAAACAACAUGCAUUGAUAAUGUCAAUACCAAUGUAUGAAAAAAAAAACAAUAAUUAAUUUAAGAAAAUUAAUUAAAAAAUACAACAAAAGAAAUAUUUUUUUUCAUUUUAUAUCCAGAAGCAAAUAAUUAAAAAAAAAACUCUGCAUACUAGUUCCAUAUAUAAUUAUUAUAAAACAAUUAUUAAUAUUAAAUAAAGUUUUCUUUGCAUCGAACCAUUUACAAAGAACUUCCAUUGCAAAGACUGCAUCAGCCGAACCUGGAAUGGUCCAAUAGCCUUCUCAGGAACUUCAUUGUAAAAUGGACAGAAAUUUAUAAUAGAAUCAAUCAAAAGGAAUCCCUGCCUAGAGUGACCAUAACCCUAAUUCCCACCUUCCAAAAAUCCUCUAUAACUUUGUCAUUUGGUGGCCUAGGUUUCGAGUGUUGACCAGGUCGUCAGCUCGGCCAGGUUAAUUUUUUAUUUUUUUAAAUCAAAACGACAUCAUUUUAGUAAUAAAAAAAUAAAUAAAUAAAGUCAAUGGAUUUGUAGCCGGAUCUUGACUGGGUUUUGUCGGGUCAAUUGGGUCACCGGGUUAGCCGGUUCACACCAGGUUUUUUCUUUUUUUAUUUUUUCAUUAACCUGGUUUGAUUUCAGCCUCGAAUUGGCCGGAUUUCAAAACUAUACCACAAUGACUAAAAAAGUAUCCCACAGCCUCAUUAGCUAGCAUUCUAACUUGCGGACUCCACCCUACUACACAACCUUUCUCACCCACAAGAAACUAAAAAAGUAUCGCACAACCUAUGUCAUCCACAAAUGUUUUGGGGGAGCUAGGCUUGCUCAGUAUCCACAAGAAAUAGAAAUUACUGACCUUGUCCAAGCCCCAAGCUUAGAUCAGAAAUGCUACCUAAGACCACAUAUAUAACUGACCUUGGUGGUUUGUUGCUGAUCCACUCGUAAAGAGAUCAAGAUUAUAGUAAUCAUCUUCUUCAAUACACUCGUCCAAAUAUAUUGAUGGCCUUGUGGGUCUAGGCCUAAAGGCUAUGGACUUAGGGCUACGUCAGGAGCCACCCAUUGCGGCUUAGCUAUGGCUAAGGCUUUUUAUAUGAUAACUAUAUUGAUGGACUUAUUUUCUCCAUAAAAUACUUUCCAAAACUUUCAUAAAUACAACCAAAGUGAAAUAACUAAAUUUAUUUUAAAAGUGAAAUAACUAAUAUUAUUUUUCUCAAUUUGUAUUCACAAACAUUUGUAGUCAGCAAUACAAUAAUUAAGGAUACAUUUAAUAUCCACUACCGCUAGAAUUAGAAGUGUUAGCAUUAGAUUUGAAGAUAAUUUUUAGUCUUAAAUUUAUUUACAUCAAAGUCAAGAAUAUUAAAAUAAAAAAUGUCAUAGGUAAUUCAUCAAAAGUAUAGCACAACAAUACAAUUAGGGUUUUAACGUGAUAGGACAAAACCAUCAAUAUAGCCUACACCAGAAAAGGGUCUUGUAAUUAAAUGGAGUACUCCACUACAAGUUCUGGAGCACAAAUAUGUUGGGUGCUUCUUUACUAGUUAUGAGAGGUAAGUAAAAAAAUAAAAAUCAAUUAAAUCGAGAAAACUAGAAAAAAAUAACUGAAAAAACCAAAUUAUGAAAAAAAAAACCAAUUAAAAUUUUUAAAAAACUGACCGGUUCGGUUUUAUAAAUCUAAAACUGAAAAAACCAAACCAAACCCAAAUCGAAAAAAACCGAGCCAAACCGGUUUGAAUUGGUUUUUGUUCUAAAAAAACCGAACCGUACCGAAAAUGGUCAGUUUGAACCGGUUUCGGUUUUUUUAAAAUUUUGAUUUGGUUACUUUUUUUUGUGAAAAGCCGAACCAAAUUGAAAAUGAUUACCCCUACUCGUUAUGGAUGUUGUAACCCAAUUUUGGGUCUCCACAUAUAAAAUAAUAAAAUACAAAACAAUUCAAAAAAAUAUAUUAUAAAAAAAUAUAACAGUGAAAAAAUGCCAGAGCACCCUAAAAAUGCUCAAAAAUUGAUUAAGGAUGUUCAAAUAUAUAACAAUUAAUUUUUGACAGUAUAUCAUUGAUUGAUGAGAGCCCCGAUGAUAAAGAAACUUCAAUUUGAGGAAGAAAAGUCCAAAAUUAGAAGUUUAUGGACUCAAUUAAAUUUUAUUUAGGGUUUAAUUGAAUUUUUGGAGAGUUUAAUUGCAAGAAAAAUUGAUUUUUGAGUUAAUUUGGGUUUUAAUUGGAAGAAAUUGAAGUUCUGGGGUCAAAUUAUAAUUUUUAGAAGUUCAUUUGGUCAAAUCAGGGGCUUAAUUGCAUAAAUAUUGAAGUUUAAUGGCCAAUUAGGGACUUAAUUGAAGAAAUCCGAGAUCAAGGACUAAAUUGUAAAACGCGCGCAAAUGGAGGGCCGAAAUUUGAAUCUGACGCGUUUUGGCGCCUUUUCCUUUUAAAUGAAACGAUGCGUUUUGACCAAAACGGCGCCGUUUCGUGCACUGUUUGAAAAAAAAAAAAUGCAAAAGGAUGCCGUUUUGAAACGGCAUCAUCGUCUUCUUCCCUGCGCACGCAGAGAACAGGGGAGACAAAGAUUUUCUUUUCUCCUCUGUUUCGCACCGACUUCCCACCCGGAUUUGGCGCAAUAAGACGCCCGCAAUCACCCACUUGCCUCCUUUUUAUCCAUGGAUCGAUAGUGGAGGGGGCGACCACCACCAUGACGUCUCCCCUGUUUUUGCUUAUAAAAACAGGGGAGAACCGAAGCAAAAGGAAGAAAAAGAAGAGAAAGAGACCGAGAGAACAGAAGGGAAAAAGAGAGGGAGAAGAGGGAGAAGACCGAGAGAAGAGAGGAGAGAAGGCAGAGAAGAGAAAAGAAGAAGCAGAGAAGAAAACGAAAAUUAAACACCGAGGAGAGAGAGAAGGAAAACCGUUGGCCACCGUGCCUACGCCGCCAGCAGCACCUCCACGACAUCACCGCAGGUAAUCUCUCGCCGCCCCGUCUCCUUCUUCGUUUGCCCUCGUCCGUUGUCUCGUUUGCAUGCAGAACGUGAAUUAAUUCACAUUCUGCAGCAGCUGAAGGAGGCUGGUUACUGUGCUUAGGCACAGUAACCAGCCCAUUUGGUAAUGGGCCGGGUCCGGCCCAUUUCAAUUUUUUAAUUUUUUUUUUACAAUUUUUCCAGCACAUUUUUUUUACAAUUUUUCUUAAUAUCGGUCUGUAUUUUACAUCGUAAAAAUAUAAAUCCGGUAUUAAAAUACCCGGUUUUCGGCAAAAACUUCAAAAAAUACAAAAAAAAACAAUUGAAAAAAAGAGAAAAAAAAUGUUUUUAUGCAUACGGCCAGGUGUCUCAAAGUUAAAAAAAUCAUAUUGUAUUUUUUCAUACACCAAAAAACAAUAUUUUAGCAUGCAUUGUGGCUUUAAUAACCAGUUUAUUAAAGUCAAGAGAACAUUGGCCAAAAUCUCAAAAACAACAAAAAUAUUAUUUUGUUUGAUUUUAGUAUUAGGGAUUAUGAAUUUAUACGUAAAUCGUAUUCCUGAUAUUAAAAAGAUAUUUUCUUUUGACGACUUUGAAUAGUUAGGUUUUUACCCGACAAAGAUAAGGAUCUCCUUACAGAGGAGGACUUUUCUUAAACCGUAAACGAACCAACAAUUAAAAAACCACAACACAACACUAUUUUAAAUUUUAUCAGACAUUAAAACAAUGCAGCCUACCUUAGGUAGGGCGUAGUUGGGGUGCUAAUACCUUCCCUUUACGCAACCAGUCUCCGUACCCGAUCUCUAAAGACCAGUUAAGGUUCCUAGUAACCAGAAUACUAGGUGGCGACUCCCAGUCCAUAUUUGCACUUGUAGAGACAAGAAUUCCUUGUCUCUCCCUAUUUUCCAGGAAUAAAUAUUCCGAUUUUUCCUUGAGGGUGGAUGAUCGCCGCGCCGCCGCACACGUGUGACAAUGGAUAUAAGUCAACACUUGAGGCAGUGAGCUUUGGAGUGUCAAUGGUGGAAAUGCCACGGUGGACUGAUCAAUCAACAAAUGCUAAGUAUAGCACUGAUGUUUUGCAUGUAGGACUUUGAGGGAAGGGGAUUGUGACCAAACAAACUGGUCAUAAGUUAAGUGGAUUGUGACUAAAGAAGAUAUAGAAAUGUGCAUAAAGGAAUUUGUUAAAGGAGAGAGUAGGAAUGAGAUUAGAAGGAAUUCAUAUAAGUGGAAGAAACUGGCUAAAGUGACAUUAGAUGAUUGUGGAAGCUCCGACAAGAAAUAUCGAAGAGUUUGCAGCAAAACUUGUAUGCAGGUCCAACGGUUCUGUAGAGAAGAAGGUUCAAUUUGCAUAUUCAAUUGUUGUAAAACAUGUUGUAGAAAUCAACCUAAUAAGUUAUGGAGAAAGAUUUUCUGCAUGUUCUGGUUUGUGUUCGUUAUGCGAAGAAGAACAUGCAUUAAAGUAACCAUCAACCAGGCUUUUAUUAGAUUUGGCAUUGCUUUAUUAUUGUUUCGAAACCGGAAUAAAGCCCUUAUCUUGUUGAAUAUGUACAGGUAUUAGAAUCAUAAAAAAAAUCCAGUUGAAAACGUAUAAAAAUCUGAUACAUAUUCAGCUAAAAUGUACUUCUAUAAAAAUACAUACUUGAUUGGAUGAUAUUUAUCCGAUAUCCAAUUACUGAUACAAUCAGUGAAGUUUAACAAUUAUUGUGUAGAUGGUUAAUCCAUCAUGAAAAUUAAUAAAUAUAUACACAUCUAUACUUUCAUCUACCAAACUUAUAUGAAGAGUCGGUAUACUCAUCAUUUGGUGGAUCUGAUAACUUUGUAGGGUUAGCCUUAUCAUCAUCUUCUAGGAUUUGAUGUGGGCUCAAAAAAGGUUUAGGAGGCAUACAGAGGAAAUCAAUAUCUGAUUCAAACAUCUCAACAACUUUAUGCAUUGAAGGACGAUCAUCGGGCUUCAAUUGUAUGCACCACAACGCCACAAUCAUCAUCUUCUUUAAUAUUUUCUUUUCAUAUUCCGUGGCAUCUUCUUGUGUUUCUAUGUCCUUUCCUUCACUAACUUUGUCAUAAACCCAUGCAGGAAAGUAAAUCCGACUUGAAUGAUUGGUCAAUGCAUUCAAGUUCUUCCUUCUUCCUACCAGAUCCAUUAAUAACAUCCCAAAACUAUAGACAUCAGCUUUGUAAGAAACACCUCCAAUAUUUUUAUAUAAUAAUUCAGGAGCCAUGUAUCCAAUUGUUCCUCUAGCAGCUGUGAGAGACACAUUAUUAUUACCUGAUGGAUAUAAUUUGGCCAGUCCAAAAUCUGAGAUUUUUGGAAUAAAUUUUUCAUCCAGCAAAUAUUGUGAGGUUUGAUAUCAAAAUGUAAAAUUUGCAUAUCACAACCUUGAUGUAGAUAUUCAAU